rnacentral:rRNA from 1 species
UACGUAGGGGGCAAGCGUUGUCCGGAAUCAUUGGGCGUAAAGAGCGCGUAGGCGGCCCAGUAAGUCCGCUCUGAAAGUCAGGGGCUCAACCCCUGAAUGCGGGUGGAUACUGCUGGGCUAGAGUCCGGAAGAGGCGAGUGGAAUUCCUGGUGUAGCGGUGAAGUGCGCAGAUAUCAGGAGGAACACCGAUGGCGAAGGCAGCUCGCUGGGACGGUACUGACGCUGAGGCGCGAAAGCGUGGGUAGCAAACAGG